rnacentral:rRNA from 1 species
UGGGGAAUUUUGGACAAUGGGGGAAACCCUGAUCCAGCCAUCCCGCGUGUGCGAUGAAGGCCUUCGGGUUGUAAAGCACUUUUGGCAGGAAAGAAACGUCGCGGGUUAAUACCCCGCGAAACUGACGGUACCUGCAGAAUAAGCACCGGCUAACUACGUGCCAGCAGCCGCGGUAAUACGUAGGGUGCAAGCGUUAAUCGGAAUUACUGGGCGUAAAGCGUGCGCAGGCGGUUCGGAAAGAAAGAUGUGAAAUCCCAGAGCUUAACUUUGGAACUGCAUUUUUAACUACCGGGCUAGAGUGUGUCAGAGGGAGGUGGAAUUCCGCGUGUAGCAGUGAAAUGCGUAGAUAUGCGGAGGAACACCGAUGGCGAAGGCAGCCUCCUGGGAUAACACUGACGCUCAUGCACGAAAGCGUGGGGAGCAAACAGGAUUAGAUACCCUGGUAGUCCACGCCCUAAACGAUGUCAACUAGCUGUUGGGGGCCUUCGGGCCUUGGUAGCGCAGCUAACGCGUGAAGUUGACCGCCUGGGGAGUACGGUCGCAAGAUUAAAACUCAAAGGAAUUGACGGGGUCAUAGCUGAUUCCUG